AACGCACAUUGCGCCCACCAGUACUCUGGUGGGCAUGCCUGUCCGAGCGUCAUUUCGACCCUCGAGCCUCCCUUCGCGGUGGUUCGGUGCUGGGACGCUACAGCGCGCUUGCUCGCGCUGUAGGUCCCGAAAUGCAGUGGCGGCCUCGCCGAGACCCCGAGCGCAGUAAACCGUGCUUUAGCACAGCGCCUCGUUCAGGGUGUCCGGCGGGUGCCCCGGCCGUAAAACCCCCAACUUACAGAAGGUUGACCUCGGAUCAGGUAGGAAUACCCGCUGAACUUAA
rnacentral:misc_RNA from 1 species